rnacentral:lncRNA from 1 species
UUUAAUAUUUAUGAAAAUAAUUUUAAUAAAUAGUUUUACAAACAAAAAAAAUUUGGAAAAAUAGUAACAUUUGUUAAAAUACCUAUAUGAACUUAAUGGUAUAUUUUCCAGUUAUAAAAAAGUUAAAAUUAUAAAUUUCAGAUUAUGUUCUAAAAAAAAGUAGAAAUGACAUUCUACGAAGUAGAAAACGAAAUCUACUUUUUUCAUUGAAUCUACAAUGUUUAGAAUACGUGAUCUACGUAAAUAGGAGUAUUCUACAAAGAUGUAGAAUACACAUUCCGCGCUUAACCUACCAUUCUAAAAUUCUUAGAAAUCAAAAUCUACACAUUAAUCUAAUUCUAAAACAUGUAGAAACCGACUUCUACAGAUUUACUAUAAAUCUAAAACAUGUAGAAAUCAAAUUCUAAACAUUACUAUAAUUCUAAAAAACUGUAGAAAUUGAUUUCUACAUAUUAGUUGUAUUCUACGGAUAAGAAAUCAGUUCCUAAAAAUAUGGAAACAAAAUAUUUGAGAAUAUUCACUUUUAUAUUUUUUUUAAAAAUCGAUUUUUUUAAAAAAAAAAAAACGAAAAAGAACAAAAAAAAGCGACAAAAAAAACCUUGGCAACCUUCUUCGCCGUCUUCUAUAUUCCAUUGAUUGUUCACAAAAUUUUCACAAAAUUUUCACAUUAUUUCUACCAUGAUUCAUGUCUAUGCUUCAUGUGGUGUUUGGGAAUUGGUUGUAU